UACGGGGGGGGGCAAGCGUUGUUCGGAAUUACUGGGCGUAAAGGGCUCGUAGGCGGCCAACUAAGUCAGACGUGAAAUCCCUCGGCUUAACCGGGGAACUGCGUCUGAUACUGGAUGGCUUGAGUUUGGGAGAGGGAUGCGGAAUUCCAGGUGUAGCGGUGAAAUGCGUAGAUAUCUGGAGGAACACCGGUGGCGAAGGCGGCAUCCUGGACCAACACUGACGCUGAGUGAGCGAAAGCCAGGGGAGCAAACAGGG
rnacentral:rRNA from 1 species